rnacentral:rRNA from 1 species
CGUGGAGACAGGUGGUGCAUGGCUGUCGUCAGCUCGUGUCGUGAGAUGUUGGGUUAAGUCCCGCAACGAGCGCAACCCUCACCUCUUGUUGCCAUCAGGUCAUGCUGGGCACUCUAGAGGAACUGCCCCGGUCAACGGGGAGGAAGGCGGGGAUGACGUCAAGUCAUCAUGCCCCUUACGUCCUGGGCUACACACGUGCUACAAUGGCCGGUACAAAGGGAUGCCACACCGCGAGGUAGAGCUAAGCCCAAAAAGCCGGUCUAAGUUCAGAUUGGAGUCUGCAACUCGACUCCAUGAAGGAGGAAUCGCUAGUAAUCGCGUAUCAGCACGACGCGGUGAAUACGUUCCCGGGCCUUGUACACACCGCCCGUCACACCACGAAAGCCUGCUGUACUCGAAGUCGCUGAG